rnacentral:rRNA from 1 species
ACGUACACUCCUGCGGGAGGCAGCAGUAGGGAAUCUUCCACAAUGGGUGCAAACCUGAUGGAGCAAUGCCGCGUGAGUGAAGAAGGUCUUCGGAUCGUAAAGCUCUGUUGUUAGAGAAGAACACGUGCUAGGUAACUACUAGCGCCUUGACGGUAUCUAACCAGAAAGUCACGGCUAACUACGUGCCAGCAGCCGCGGUAAUACGUAGGUGACAAGCGUUGUCCGGAUUUAUUGGGCGUAAAGGGAGCGCAGGCGGUCUGUUUAGUCUAAUGUGAAAGCCCACGGCUUAACCGUGGAACGGCAUUGGAAACUGACAGACUUGAAUGUAGAAGAGGAAAAUGGAAUUCCAAGUGUAGCGGUGGAAUGCGUAGAUAUUUGGAGGAACACCAGUGGCGAAGGCGAUUUUCUGGUCUAACAUUGACGCUGAGGCUCGAAAGCGUGGGGAGCGAACAGGAUUAGAAACCCCAGUAGUCCCA